rnacentral:lncRNA from 1 species
AGUUGACAGGGAUCACUCGAGCGAGUAUCUCCGACACGGUAAGAGUUGCAGUGCACUAUUGUUAUCCACUGCAUUCUUCAUCGUAUUGUCAAUUCUCAGUCAUGGUAAAUUAAGGCGUCGUGCUGCACUUGUGUAUUGUAUCGUUGAUGGCUGGUUUCAGCCAUGAUGUACCGAUGUCUCCUGGGUAUGGCGGAUAACAAAUCGCGACGCCGCCGUUUUACUACACAACACACGACACGACCAGUUGCUACGCCGAGGCCCCCACGUACUGCACUAAGGCUCCAGAUUAUUGUUCCACAAAUUAUGCUGCCCUGAGCUACUACACCGAAUCCCCGCUAUAUUACUCUUCCCCGAGCUACACUACCAAGGGUCGAUUACUGCACCGAUGCUCCGAAGUACUACAACACCAAGGCAAUGGAGUACUGUACAACUACAUAUCAUGGGGAGAAAAGGCGAAAGAGAUCAGUCGAGUGGUCAUCUCCGACACGGCAACAGCAACUGCAGUGCCAAGGCUCAGUAAUACACCUCUACUUAUGUUGCUCCGAUACUCUACACCAAAGUGCCUGAGUGCUGUACCGAGGGCACUAAUUUUUACAUCACCAAGGCACCGGAGUACUACACUGAAACAUACGCUGCUCCAGCUUAUUACACCGAGGCUCCCCAAUACUACACCACCAAGGCACUGGAGUACUACACCACUACAUAUCAUGUCGUAUGAAAGGAGAGAAAAGGUGAAAGAAUUCAGCAGACGAGUGAGCAUCUCCGUUACAGCAACAGGAACUGCCGUGCACUUAGUCAUCAACUUCAUUCUUCGUCCUGUUACAAGUUUUAAAUAAAGAACCAUAUUUGAAUAUCAAAAUUUAUUAAUUGUCAAGUAAACAAUGGCGUCGUGCUGCUGUUGGGUGUUGUAUCGUUGAUGGCUGGGUCGACCACUGGUGUAUUGUCUCCUGGGUAUGGCGGGUACCAAAGCACAACACUGUCUUACUAUUAAGCAUCAACUUCCGCUGCUCCAUCUUACUACACUGAGGCUCUCAAGUGCUACUCCAUCAAGGCUCCAGAUUGUUACACCACAGCUCAUGUUGCCUCAAGCUACUACGCUGAAUGUCCGAAGUAUUUGUUCCCCAGCUACACUACCAAAUGGUCGAGUACCACGUCGAGGCUCCCAAGUUCUACAUCACUAAGGCACCGGAGUACAAAAACGGUCGAAUACUACACAGAAGCAGUCAUGGUACACUAUGGCGUUGUGCCAUUGUGAAUGUUGCAACGGUGAUGGUUGGUUCGACCACUGGUGUGCCGAUUUCUCCUGGGUAUGGUGGGCGUGAACAUUCCGCAACAGCCGGUUACUACACUGAGGUCCUCCAAGUGCUACACCACAAAGCCUCCAAAACGUUACAACACGACUUAUGCUGCUCCGAUGUUACUACGCAGAAGCUCCGAAGUAUUUUCCUUCCCCGAGCUUCACUACCCUCACCACGCCGCUUACUGAACAACAACGUCAACAUCUUCUUGCUAUACGAAGGUCUUCAGUACUACGCCACAAAGGCUCCUGACUACUACACCGAGGAUUGUCACACCACUGAAGCGUCCAAGUACUGCACUACAACCUUCGUUGCUCCAGCUUACACCACGAAGGGAGCCGAGUACUACACCACGAAGGGAGCCGAUAAUUCGUACCACGUUGAACCGGAUUACUAAACCGAUGAUCCAGUUUACUACACUACAACCUGCGCUUUCUCCCAGAUACUACACCACCAAGGAAACCGAGUUACAUCACUACUUACGCUACUACCACCUACUGCACCGAAGUAUUACUCUGCCCCGAGUUAUUACACCACUAAGGCAGCCGACUAUUACACCAUAAACUACGCUUCCGCAACUUACUACAUGGAGCUUCCUUAAUGCCAGAGCCGACUAUUUGAGUAUUAUUAUUUGUCGGUUGUCUUCAUGAUCAUUGGUCACUGGGAGUUAAUUGUUGAUCUCAAAUGAGUAAAUAAAAAUUUUAAUGCGGGUAA